GCGACGUCGCCCGGGCAACGGCUCUGCCACCUUAUUGGAUAUGUUGACCAAUUUAUUUUAUUUUUCCCCGCUCCCUCUACGGCAAAGAGGAAGAGGACCACCUUCCACCUACCUACACUACCCUCUGCACACAUCGACGCCAUUUUCCAAUAUCGCGUCAAGCGGCCGCUAUACUCUCUUUCCACUUUUACCAUCCCACCUUUACACUUUUUUCUCCUACCUCUUUAUCCCCCUUUUCGUCCUCCCACCCUUUCACCCACCUCGGAAGGAAAGAAGAAAAGAGGAGAGGGAAAGAAGAUCGGGAGGGGUUGGGUGGUCCUAGGAAAAAGAGGAAAAAGGGGGGAGGUGGUUUCGAGAAAGAAGGCUGGGGUGGUUAGAGAAAGAGGAGAUAGUUCGGAUAGAGUUUGGUGGUUGCGGGUGGAAACGGACGGCGAUGCCAAUGUCGGAGUCCCGGAGGCUGGGGGUUUGGAUACAUAACUACAACUCCGGCAACAAGAACGAAACAAAGUUAGAUACCUACUAAUGAAGAUACGUAUAAGUCCAGUCGCAAAACAGAGGAAAGCAAUAACACGAAGACUUCCUAAAUAUCAAAGGAUGUGUAUUAUACGUCAGCAAGACGAAAAGUUUGAUCAAGUAUACGAACGAAAGUAAAACUAUUUCAUCGUGUCCUCUCGAACCAAAGAGAACACUCUUGAUAAAAUCAGCAAAAGCCACUAAAGUGGAAAGGAAUUGAAAAAGACGAAAUUGGUUAUCAAUUAUCAUCACCGGAUGAUUAUAACGUGAGCCGGAUUAGCUCUUGAAUGAACAAACAAACCGUUAGGAUCACUGGUAAUUGGGUGGAAAUUAUUACGUACCUUUUCCUCCCUCUCACUCGGUUUUGUGCACCGCGAAAACGGCUAAGGGGCUAUAAUUUUCUCUUAGGAAGUAAAUUUUAUUAAUAUUAUGGGUUGAAACGACUAAAAGAUCUGAAUAAACAAUAAAACUACAAAAACGCAACGGUAGUCGAUCCAUCGAUAAAAACUGGAAGCUAUCGCAAGCGAAUAACCUCUGCUGUUUUCUCUUUCUUUCUAUACAUCUAUCUCACUUUCUCGAACAUAGUUCUUAUCGUAAAGUGGUCCAGGAUGGUCAAUGAGUAUCCUGUUAGCGUUCACAUCGAAUCGAUUACGCGACACUCGUACCUUGAUAUUCCAACGAGGAUAUAUAUCAUGAAAGAGGAAGAGAGAAGGAGGGUGAGCGGGAGAGGGAGGGAAAG